UACAGAGGGGCAAGCGUUAUUCGGAAUUAUUGGGCGUAAAGGGCGCGUAGGCGGCUUUCAAGUGACGGUGAAAUCCCUCGGCUUAACCGAGGAACUGCCUGUCAGACUGGAAGGCUUGAGACCGGGAGAGGUGAGUGGAAUUCCCAGUGUAGCGGUGAAAUGCGUAGAUAUUGGGAGGAACACCAGUGGCGAAGGCGGCUCACUGGACCGGAACUGACGCUGAGGCGCGAAAGCGUGGGAGCAACAGG
rnacentral:rRNA from 1 species